GCCGCGGUAAUUCCAGCUCCAAUAGCGUAUAUUAAAGUUGUUGUGGUUAAAAAGCUCGUAGUUGAACCUUGGGCCUGGCUGGCCGGUCCCCCUCACCGGGUGCACUGAUCCAGCCGGGCCUUUCCCUCUGUGGAACCCCAUGGCCUUCACUGGCUGUGGCGGGGAAACAGGACUUUUACUUUGAAAAAAUUAGAGUGCUCCAGGCAGGCCUAUGCUCGAAUACAUUAGCAUGGAAUAAAAAAAUAGGACGUGUGGUUUUAUUUUGUUGGUUUCUAGGACCGCCGUAAUGAUUAAUAGGGACAGUCGGGGGCAUCAGUAUUCAAUUGUCAGAGGUGAAAUUCUUGGAUCUAUUGAAGACUAACUACUGCGAAAGCAUUUGCCAAGGAUGUUUUCAUUGAUAAGGAACGAAAGUUAGGGGAUCGAAGACGAUCAGAUACCGUCGUAG
rnacentral:rRNA from 1 species